rnacentral:rRNA from 1 species
GCGCACCAGUCGCGAAACUUUACAAUGUGCGAAAGCACGAUAAGGGAACUCUGAGUGCCUCCUAAGGAGGCUGUUCAGGUGUCUAAAAGCACCUGGAGUAAGGGCUGGGUAAGACCGGUGCCAGCCGCCGCGGUAACACCGGCAGCCAGGUGGUAGCCACUUUUAUUGGGUCUAAAGCGUCCGUAGCCGGUUGAGUAAGUUCCUUGGGAAAUUUGGCUGCUCAACAGUCAAGCUUCCAGGGAAUACUGCUCGACUUGGGACUGGGAGAGGUCAGAGGUACUCCAGGGGUAGGGUGAAAGUCCAUUAAUCCCUGGGGGACCACCGGUAGCGAAGGCGUCUGACCAGACCAGGUCCGACGGUGAGGGACGAAGGCUAGGGUCGCGAACCGGAUUAGAUACCCCUGUAGU